UACGGAGGGUGCAAGCGGUAUCCGGAUUCACUGGGUUUAAAGGGUGCGUAGGUGGGCUGGUAAGUCAGUGGUGAAAUCCCCGAGCUUAACUUGGGAACUGCCAUUGAUACUAUCAGUCUUGAAUACCGUGGAGGUCAGCGGAAUAUGUCAUGUAGCGGUGAAAUGCUUAGAUAUGACAUAGAACACCAAUUGCGAAGGCAGCUGGCUACACGAAUAUUGACACUGAGGCACGAAAGCGUGGGGAUCAAACAGG
rnacentral:rRNA from 1 species